rnacentral:rRNA from 1 species
AAGGGGGGCAACUCCCGAGUAGAGCGGCGGACGGGUGAGUAACACAUCGGAACGUGCCCAGUAGUGGGGGACAACCUCGAGAAAUCGAGGCUAAUACCGCAUACGACCCACGGGUGAAAGCGGGGGACCGCAAGGCCUCGCGCUAUUGGAGCGGCCGAUGUCCGAUUAGCUAGUUGGCGGGGUAAGAGCCCACCAAGGCGACGAUCGGUAGCUGGUCUGAGAGGACGACCAGCCACACUGGGACUGAGACACGGCCCAGACUCCUACGGGAGGCAGCAGUGGGGAAUUUUGGACAAUGGGGGCAACCCUGAUCCAGCCAUGCCGCGUGCGGGAAGAAGGCCUUCGGG